UGGGGAAUUUUGGACAAUGGGCGAAAGCCUGAUCCAGCAAUGCCGCGUGUGUGAAGAAGGCCUUCGGGUUGUAAAGCACUUUUGUCCGGAAAGAAAUCCUUGGCUCUAAUACAGUCGGGGGAUGACGGUACCGGAAGAAUAAGCACCGGCUAACUACGUGCCAGCAGCCGCGGUAAUACGUAGGGUGCAAGCGUUAAUCGGAAUUACUGGGCGUAAAGCGUGCGCAGGCGGUUUGCUAAGACCGAUGUGAAAUCCCCGGGCUCAACCUGGGAACUGCAUUGGUGACUGGCAGGCUAGAGUAUGGCAGAGGGGGGUAGAAUUCCACGUGUAGCAGUGAAAUGCGUAGAGAUGUGGAGGAAUACCGAUGGCGAAGGCAGCCCCCUGGGCCAAAUACUGACGCUCAUGCACGAAAGCGUGGGGAGCAAACAGGAUUAGAUACCCUGGUAGUCCACGCCCUAAACGAUGUCAACUAGUUGUUGGGGAUUCAUUUCCUUAGUAACGUAGCUAGCGCGUGAAGUUGACCGCCUGGGGAGUACGGUCGCAAGAUUAAAACUUAAAUGAAUUGACGGGGUCAUAGCUGUUUCCU
rnacentral:rRNA from 1 species